AGUGAACGCUGGCGGUAGGCCUAACACAUGCAAGUCGAACGGCAGCACAGUAAGAGCUUGCUCUUACGGGUGGCGAGUGGCGGACGGGUGAGGAAUACAUCGGAAUCUACUUGUUCGUGGGGGAUAACGUAGGGAAACUUACGCCAAUACCGCAUACGACCUACGGGUGAAAGCAGGGGAUCUUCGGACCUUGCGCGAUUGAAUGAGCCGAUGUCGGAUUAGCUAGUUGGCGGGGUAAAGGCCCACCAAGGCGACGAUCCGUAGCUGGUCUGAGAGGAUGAUCAGCCACACUGGAACUGAGACACGGUCCAGACUCCUACGGGAGGCAGCAGUGGGGAAUAUUGGACAAUGGGCGCAAGCCUGAUCCAGCCAUACCGCGUGGGUGAAGAAGGCCUUCGGGUUGUAAAGCCCUUUUGUUGGGAAAGAAAAGCAGCAGGUUAAUACCCCGCUGUUCUGACGGUACCCAAAGAAUAAGCACCGGCUAACUUCGUG
rnacentral:rRNA from 1 species